UGACCUUUCAUCUUAUUUCUCAUCUGCUGGUCCCAUCAACCCUAACUUUGUAUCUGCUAAAACUCAGGGAAGAGUGGCUUAUUUAAUUGGUGAAUUUUAGAGAAGAAAUUGAGAAUGUCUGCUACUUUUCAUCCCUCCUGAAACUACUACUAUUUUUAGAGGUGCCUAACAUGUUGACCUGCUCUUUGUCUUCUGAAUCUAAUUGGAAACCAUCUUGGAACACACAUGUUG
rnacentral:lncRNA from 10 species